UCAGAUAGUUCAUUUGGUAGAGCAAGAGAUUCAUAAUCCAAGGGUUGUGGGUUCAAGCCCCACAUUGGGCAAAA